rnacentral:lncRNA from 1 species
GGGGAUGAUUUUUAACGAUAGAGACUACAGGCCAACAAGCCAAGCAAUGAUGGAAAUAGGCACCUUGAAGGAGAACCCGGGUGAAGCACUGAAGUAUAUGCAAACAGAACCACUGAUCAUGAAAGGAGUGAGUUCCAUUAUAAGACCCCGAGAUUCAGAAAAGAUGGUAUUGUAUGUUCCUGUAAAGCUAAAGGGAAUAACACAAGAUCGGCCAAAACUAUAUGUUUCGAGCGGUCCCGCAUGGUUCGACCAAUAGCGCAACAACAUGAGAAAGAU